rnacentral:rRNA from 1 species
UACAGAGGGUGCAAGCGUUGUUCGGAAUCAUUGGGCGUAAAGGGCGUGUAGGCGGUUUGCUAAGUCAUGUGUGAAAGCCCUCGGCUUAACCGAGGAACGACGCAUGAAACUGGCAAGCUAGAGUACCAAAGAGGGGGGUGGAAUUCCCGGGUGUAGCGGUGAAAUGCGUAGAUAAUCUGGAGGAACAGCCGGUGGCGAAGGCGGCCGUGCU